CAACUACUUCAAUCUUGUUUAUUUAAUUCUUCAAGAGUUUCAGGAGGGGAUUUGGACGUGGGAGCAGCAUACCAGCCCCGUUAGUCCAGCUUAUAUCUUGCACUGAGGGGCUACGACCGUGUACUAGAGUCAUGUAUUUAACUCUUAUCCACUGAAGGGCUACGUCCGUGGGUAAAGGUAUCCAAUAUACACUGAGGGGCUACAGCCGUAUGUAAAGGUAAUUCUUAUCGACUGAGGGGCUACGAUCGUGGGUAAAGGUAUCUAUUAUACACUGAGGGGCUACAUCCGUGUAUAAGGAUGAUUAUGUUGUUUCCAUCUUGUACACUGAGGGAUUACGACCGUGCACAGAAUAUUGAUCAGAUGGUUUAUGUACAUAUGAUUUAUAGCUUUUAGAUCAUUAGUAGAUGUUUACAUGUGAUAUAUUUUGAUGAUGUGAAUUUUAAUUAUAUAGUGGAUUAUUAGUCUUCAACUUACAUUUUCCCGUUUAUAGUUCAGCUUGUGGAUUUUAGAUUAUGGUUUUAGAUUAUUGAAUUGUCUAAUGUACUUACUCAUCUGGUUGUAUAUAUUUAUAUAUGACAGUACAACCAUCUUUUAAACACUCC